AAGAGGAGGAGCUCCUGCGCAUAAUCUGGAAGUGGCGGUUGUUUCAGUAUGGCGUCUGUUGCUGAGGGCGCAAAUGGCAAUGGAUUUUACUGGAUUCAUGACAAAUCAGAUGAAGAGCAGCCCAUGGUUUUUAUUACAGGGAUGAGCAAGAAUGCCGGUCUGAAGGUUGGGUCUGCAAAUAAUACAGAGGGAAAGAUAAAAAGAAGAGCUAGCGGCAUGGAUAAAAGUAGGAAAAUAACAGGAUUGCAUUCAGCAGUGCAAAGUGCUGAGAUGAUGGUGGGUAAAGCUUCAGAUCAGAAGCUGCCUUCUGUUGUAGCCAAAUCCAAAACCACUACACCUGCACCAGAACCGGACCUGCCUUCUCUCACUUUAGCUCAGCCUCUCUUCAGCGCUGCUCAAGCCAAAAGUAAGCCAUCAUUGAAGGAUCUCUGCCCAGAGGACAAGCGUCGGAUUGCCAAUCUCAUCCAGGAGCUGGCCAGAGUUAGUGAAGAAAAAGAUGAGUCUGUUCAGAAACUCAGGGAUGAACAAGAGACGUUUGAGAAAAAAAUCCAACAGCUAGAGCAACAAAACCAACUCAUCAUACAAGAAAGAGAAAGCCUGCAGCAGCAGUACGGAGAGUGUCAGGAACUGCUGGGACUCUAUCAGCAAUACCUCUCCCAACAGCAAGAGAAACUCAACAAGUCUAUUACCCUGCUCAAUCAGUCCUGCUCCCACAGCAAGAUUCCUAGCAGCGAGGGGGUGGCCAGGAGGUCUUGGGGUGGAAGAGGAACUGCUUUAGAUGGAUCUUACUUGGACCUCCCUUCAUCAGGAAGCAAAACUGAUAGAGGCGGGUCAGUGGAGUGCACUCAUUCAUUCUCAACGGGACUGUUCAGUGCACCCUCCAGCAGUGACCAGAACUGUGAAAUCCAUGACAGGCACACCAAACACAAUUCUGAAGGUGGACGUAGUGAUCUCAGCUUCUCCAACAGUGAACCCUCAGCCUGUAAUGCCCUGAGGCUGCAUGGCGCCUCUGAACCCAAGUGCUCUCAUCAGUGCCACAGAAUGGAAAAUGAUGGCAUGUGUGGUGCUAAUCGAACUGGAAUAGCACCACUGUCUGUUCGGGAGAACUGGGAAGAGAAACGACGAUGUCUGCUCCUGCAGAAGAAACAGCUGGAGAUGGAGAGGGAGAGAAUUCAAGCUCGGUUGGCUCAACAGGAAGAGAAACUUUUGCUCCAGAACAAGCAACUCCGCCAGUCAUACCUUCAGUACAGCAAGCUUCAGCAAGCAACCACAACAGAUUUUGAGAGACCUCUAAAUGGAGACAGCAGUUUUAAUGAGGGUCAACAAUCCAGUUUUGUAAUGGAUCAGUUGACACACAGAAGUGAAAUAAAAGGAGAGUCACACACUUUGCAGGGAAAUGUUCAACCUUCGUUAAGUAACGUACAGUCACAGCAACACACAUCAAGUAUUGAACAGUCUGCACCCAAGAUUUCACAAGAUAUCUCCAUUACCAAGAAGGAUAUGGCCACCUCUCCUGUGGUUCCACAAAGCUUCCAGACAUCUGCUCUUCCCCAAAUUUCUCCUUUUGGACCUCCUAGCACUCCAAAGGCUUCCAGGCAUCUUGAACUCUGUUCCUAACCCCUACUGAUCCGUUGAGUGAACAGAUAGCGUUUGGGAUUAGCAAACCUCCUCUUAAGUGAUAUUAAUGUCUCAUGGUCAUUCACCAGUGGACCUUGUGAAAAGCAAUGAAAGCAUUUGGAUUGUGACCGGCGGUAAGAAAUGCAUUAUUCAUAUCGGCAAUGUCGUCCGUUGAUGGAUGGCUGUUUGAGAGGCCUGUCCGUUAAAUAAAUCAACAAAUAAAAAUGCUAAUUCUCACAUUUCAAGAGGGUGCCUUGCCAAAGUCCCACCCCAUCAGCCAUCCACCCUCAGUGUAAGCUCUCCUUCUCUUUCCCUCUGAUGCAAAUGUGCAAAAGAA